rnacentral:rRNA from 1 species
AGUGAACGCUGGCGGUAGGCCUAACACAUGCAAGUCGAACGGCAGCACAGAGGAGCUUGCUCCUUGGGUGGCGAGUGGCGGACGGGUGAGGAAUACAUCGGAAUCUACUCUGUCGUGGGGGAUAACGUAGGGAAACUUACGCUAAUACCGCAUACGACCUACGGGUGAAAGCAGGGGACCUUCGGGCCUUGCGCGAUUGAAUGAGCCGAUGUCGGAUUAGCUAGUUGGCGGGGUAAAGGCCCACCAAGGCGACGAUCCGUAGCUGGUCUGAGAAGAAGAGCAGCCAAGAUGGAAAUGAGACACGGUCCAGACUCCUACGGGAGGACGCGGUUGGGAAUAUUGGGCAAUAGGCGCACGCCUGAUCCAGCCAUACCGCGUGGGUGAAGAAGGCCUUCGGGUUGUAAAGCCCUUUUGUUGGGAAAGAAAUCCAGCUGGCUAAUACCCGGUUGGGAUGACGGUACCCAAAGAAUAAGCACCGGCUAACUUCGUGCCAGCAGCCGCCGUAA